GGGCCCGCACAAGCGGUGGAGUAUGUGGUUUAAUUCGAUGCAACGCGAAGAACCUUACCAGGGUUUGACAUCCUGCGAAUCUCUUGGAAACAGGAGAGUGCCUUCGGGAACGCAGUGACAGGUGGUGCAUGGCUGUCGUCAGCUCGUGUCGUGAGAUGUUGGGUUAAGUCCCGCAACGAGCGCAACCCACGUCUUUAGUUGCCAGCAUUUAGUUGGGCACUCUAGAGAGACUGCCGGUGAUAAACCGGAGGAAGGUGUGGAUGACGUCAAGUCAUCAUGCCCCUUACGGGUUGGGCUACACACGUGCUACAAUGGUAGUGACAAUGGGUUAAUCCCAAAAAGCUAUCUCAGUUCGGAUUGUCGUCUGCAACUCGACUCCGUGAAGUCGGAAUCGCUAGUAAUCG
rnacentral:rRNA from 1 species